AGGCAUGCUUUGGCCCAAGGCCAUUUUUUUGUCCUCUCUGUAUGAAUGUGGCGAGGACGAGUAUAAAGCAUGCUAUAUGAACUUUUGGGAGUUAACAGGGCCACCAGUCUUUCAAGUCCAGGCUGAGUCGGUAGUAUAAUACUCCCACAGUG